CCAUUGUCGAGCUACUAAGUUCUACUGGACAAGCAGCAGUGAGUUCAAACAUCACUGUGUUUAGCUGGUUAGAAUCAGAGUGGAAAGUAGACAGUGUGUACACACAGAAUACACUUUACCAGCUGGAUAAUCUCUCCUUACCUGAAGGGAGAUUUGCCAUCAGAUCUGCUGGCCGGAUCAUCUACACGUUCUCCACUUCUCUUCAGCAAGCUGACACUGCUGCUGCAGAGCUGGCCAAAAAUCACUCACAAUUCCUCACCUUGAAAGGCAGCGCGAAUGAUGUUCUUGUGCCGACAGCCCAUCUGCGCAACUUCCUGAUCAACUUAAGCCUCUGGUUUAGGCCGCACCAAAUCGAGUGUAUAUAUAUCACUAAUGCAAACCAGUCAAACAUCUGUAGUUACAGUGUGUUCAAUGAGUCAGUCCAGUUCAAGGAUGGCCUGUACGAGUUUGCCCUGUCUCCACACAACUCUACAGUACUAAGUAUACCUGUUCUAUACAGAGUUCACCCAAGACCCACUACCACUGUAACUAUGAUGACCAGCAUGCCUUUGUCAACCAAUAUUCCCGCCCCACCAGCAAAGGGCCGCAUGUUUGGUUUGUAUGCAGGUAUUGGCACUGGAGUGGCAAUACUGGCUGCACUCUUUCUCAUAGUCUGUGUGGUGCUGGUGAUACGUUAUCGGAAGGGUGGAGUCAAUGUCGUAGCU